rnacentral:rRNA from 1 species
GCUUGUCUCAAAGAUUAAGCCAUGCAUGUCUAAGUAUAAGCUAUUUAUACGAGUGAAACUGCGAAUGGCUCAUUAUAUCAGUUAUAGUUUAUUUGAUGGUACUUACUACAUGGAUAACCGUAGUAAUUCUAGAGCUAAUACAUGCAUCAAACCCCGACUUCUGGAAGGGGUGUAUUUAUUAGAUGGAAACCAAUGCGGGGCAACCCGGAAUAUGGUGAAUCAUAAUAACUGUCGUAUCGAGCAAUCGAAGCGCCAUACAAGUUUCUGCCCUAUCAGCUUUGGAUGGUAGGGUAUUGGCCUACCAUGGCUUUAACGGGUAACGGAGAAUUAGGGUUCGAUUCCGGAGAGGGAGCCUGAGAAACGGCUACCACAUCCAAGGAAGGCAGCAGG